GCAGUCUUGAAAUUGAAGAAGAUAUCUUCCAUCUGGUGGAAGACCUCAAACAUGCUUCUCUCCAGUCUUCUGAAGGUAGUGGUGGCUUCAGUGUGGCUAGGACCUAGUAUUGCCCAGAGUGUAACUCAAGACCAGCCAGCAAUGUCAGUGCAGGAGAAGGAGGCUGUGACCCUGGACUGCACUUAUGACACAAGUGAUCCAAGUUAUAGUCUCUUCUGGUACAAGCAGCCCAGCAGUGGGGUCAUGAUUUUUCUCAUUCGUCAGGACUCUUAUAACCAGCAAAACACCAGAGAAGGUCGCUACACAUUGAGUUUCCAGAAGGCAAGAAAAUCCAUCAAACUUGUCAUCUCAGCUUCGCAGCUGGAGGACUCUGCAGUGUAUUUCUGUGCACUGAGGGGCCCACAGUGA